GUGAAGAGCCCGGUUGCGAGUGCGAGCAGGCAAACAAAGAAAAGAUGUUGUCUCCUGUCCCUGACCAGAAUUAAAUAAAGAAUACAUUCCAAGUGACUGUGACUUGUGUAACUGAAAGCCCCUGCAAAUAACUUCCUCUAAAAGAACAUAAGAAGUUUGAGAACAAGAAGAGACCACAGCUUGGGAAGGAUUUCAGCACCACCUCACUU